UCAUCCAUAUACUGUCCUCUGACAUCAAGGCCGACAGAAUGCCCCCAAGGAACCUCCUGCUGGCACUGGAGCAACUCAGUCUGUGCCCAGGUGGCAGAGAAAGCUCUGGAGACCACUGGCCACCUCUUCUGUCCCCUGCAACACUCAGAACUUGAGAGGCUGUUGCACUCGUGAACCGGAUGGUCAAUGACUUUGACGUUCACACCAGUGAGGCCGCUCUGCAUCUGCAAGGUGGUGGUUGUCAACUCGACUCUGUGGCAAUGCCCCUGCACCCCGGCCCCAUCCCAGAUGCAGAGUUGGUGACCCUCAAGCCUACUCCAUUCCUAAGCACUGAUGGGACUCAGGACAUGUUACCCCAAACUAUGACUACAGGAGACCAGAACAUGCCACCCCAAAACAUGCCUCUUCAGCAUAAGGAGUAUUUUGAGCUGGUUAUUUUGAGAAACUGCAGACACAAGAGAAGCUCUGACAAAACCAAAGGUUACCGUUUUGUAAGAGAAGUUUCUAUCCAUGGAAGAAAUCUCCAUUUGUCAGGGUGUCUCCAUUUUUGCACCAGGAAGAGGAUGGCACUGAAUUAUCAAUGGAGAAGGCACUGACCUCAAUCUGUGCAAACCUUCCCCUUGUCCACCUCCCCAUAGCUGGCCUUCCCCACACCCUUCUUUCUUUGUUUCAGUUGAAGACUAUUUAAGUCUGAACUCAAAGCCAUGGUUUUUGGAGAUUUACUCAUUUCUCUGAGUGUCUCCCAUGUAUACAUGAAGUACACAUGUUAUUAAACUUCU